UUUAAAAUAACAGUUGAGUAGCUGUGUGGUACCUUCUCUCCGAAUCAAUUGAAAAGCCCGUUGCUAUGCAACCCUGGAGUGUGGUGAUGCUCCGCUCCCUGGCUGAUGGCAUAUUGUAUAAAAUAAGAUAAUCUCUUUUCUUCUGCUUUUUUUUUUUUAAGAAAUGGAGAAAAAUGUUGUUUUAGGAAAAACUUGAGAUAACUCAGAGGCUUCUCAUGAGCUGGAAGACAAAUAACAUGUCACUCACACAAGUGCCACCAAUUUUAUCCCUGCUGGAGCUGGGGCCUGGGGACAGGGGAGAGAGGGAGGGAGCAGAAGGCAGGAGCUGGUCUAUUUCUGUCACAAUUAGAAAUGAACGCAAAGGCUGAUACACAUGCAGCCGCUCUGCCUAGGACCAGGUCAUGGCCUCACAGCACCCCUACGCGGUUCACCCUGCCCUGAGGGAUGCGGCUGUCCUGCUCCUGGCUGCAGCCCCUUUGGUUCUGUCGGGCUUUGCUUACCCCAGGGACGGGAGCCUCCUUCCUCAACAGGAAACUGAGGCCCCUUGCAGGGCACCUCAUCCGAACUCAUCCUCGCCGCGAGCUGCUGUCCCGUGCCUUGUGCAGACGGCCUGGUUUCAGCUCCCUCCAGCAGAACAAGCGAAGCCCAUUCCCUCAGCUGGGUGCCCCUGGCCCUGGCCCCAGAGCUCAGCUGGGGUGGCACCUGCCCAGCACCUGCCCCACACCUACCCCACCUGUCUCCUUCCUUCCCAGCACUUGCACCGGCUCGCUGCCUGCUCUGCGAGCUCCGCGGAGCCCCAGCCACUCCUGGCCGAGGCUGAGCUCAGAGACCUGACCCCCUCUUCUCCUGGCCCAUGGGCGCCCUGGGACCUGAGUGCGGCCGCAGAGUUACACAUAGUUGAGCACGUGACAGGGACAGGGACCGUAUCCACAUGAGCUAAUUACGGAAUUAAACAUGUUUAUCAGCCCCCCUGAAUUGAGUGAAAUUUAUGGAAUUUAAUCAUAAAAGAGCAGGGUUGGGUUUCUUUUUAUAUCCCGCUCUUUGUCACAUUUGCCUUUUCUAAUAAUUCAUUUGAAACGUGUUUUCGGAGGAGCAGUCUGCCGUGGAAGGCAUGGGAGGCCUGCGAUGCUGAGCUGCCUCUCAGGCCAGCCGAGUGCCUGACCCUGCAGCCACUCUCAUGGGCCACCCUUUCUCCUGUGUCUGCGGCCCCAGGGUGAGUGGUCUUUCCUUUACCACUCGGCACUGCUUCUCAAACCUGCAUCUCAGGCUGUCAGCUUAAGCCACUGAGUGAACAGCAAGCACCAAGCUUCCUGCCCUUGUUUGGAUCUGGAAUGUUCCCUGAAGGCCCGUGUGCUGCAGGCAUGGUCCCCUGGGUGUCAAGUGGUGGAAAGCUAACACCCCCACACAUACACGCUGUGACAGUUCACUGAUUAUGUCAGCCGGAUGAGAAAAGCCCAGCUAAAUGGAAGCAGCAUCGUCUGGAUGUGAUGACACAGCUGAGGAGGACUGUCUCGGAAUGGCAUGAAAGGGAAAUGAGGAAGGACUCGCUUCUGUCUCUUCAAAGGUGCUUCAGUCCUCCAGUCUCUGCUUUCACCCUGGGUGUCAUCUUCAGGCUUCUAACACAGACCCUUCAGCUGAGGACCAUCGAAGACCCUCAGCCUCCGUCAUGUCCACCGUCGGGACACGACGGCGAGCUCUAGGCCUUGUGCUGGAUCCUUCGGAUGUCCAGUGCGCAGACAGACCCUCUGCACUCUUCCGCACCCAGCAGUGCACGGCCAUCGUAAGCCCAUCUGUAAAUCCUUAUUAUUUGUACAUCUUGCAUUAAAUCUGUUUCUCUAGUAAGCACUGACAUACACACACCCAUGACUCUUACGAGGCAGGAAACAGAGGCUUCCAGUCCUGCCCCGGGAUAGGUGGUGCCAGCUGGAUGCCAGUUCCCUCUGUCUCCAUUGACGUCUGGUAUAGAGUUGGGGCAUGCAGAGCCCCAUGGGGACACAAGAGGGACACAGGAGGGGGACCAGUGGAGAUGCUUAUCCAGGUGCUGGAGUCCAGUUAAACAGUACUGUCGGAUGCUCUGAGGCCUCAAGGAUUUUUUUUCUGUGAACUAGUUUUUAUUGAAUUAAACAUGCACUCUUUUGCAUGUGAAAACCAUGGCUAUCAUGAUAAUUAAGAAAAUUCCGUAAAACACAAAAAGGAAAUAACAAUUCCUUAGCCUAUGGUCCAGCAAUAAAUACUGCUGACAACUUGUGUGUGCAAUCUCUCCUGCACACAGACAUGCACACAAAGCUGAGAUCACACUGGAAAGUGACAUCCAGCUUCUCAAAAAAUAAAUAAGCAAAUAGCAAACUUAACUUUAUGCUGUUACCAUUUCCUGAUGUCUUUGAACAUGCUUUGAAAAUGUGAUUUGCCAGCAGCCUAAGAUUCAUCAUGAUUCGUUUAACUAGACCUCUGCUAUCAGGUAAUAUCAGUUAAUUCCUGUUGCCUGCAUUUAGAAAUAAGAACAUGACAACUGUCUUGUCCCUAAAGCUGGGUUCACAGCUAUGAACACCGCUUCAGGAGACAGACAGAAAUGCAUGACCAGAUGCAAGGCAUCAAGAACUUCCCAGAGGCAAUGAUAACGUGGUCAUGUUUCCUCCCGCAGAAGCGAGUCUACUUGUUUAUACUUAACUACAAGAGUGGAGAAUUCAUUCAUCCAAAACAGCAGAAAAUACCCCUUCUUAUUCCUACAGGGCUGGCAUUUAUAUUCUUUUAUUUGUGUACUAGUAAAGUUAGAUAUUUUUACAUAUGUUUUCUUUUAGUCAUUUGUACUUUUCAUUCAUUAACUACUUACUUCUUUUGCCAGUUUUGUUUUCCUGACGAUUUAUAAUAGUUCUUCACAUAUUAGGGCAUCCUUGUCAUAUUGCAAGUGCUUUCUCUGAUUAUUAUUUGCCUUUCAUUUGUGUGUAGUGGAAGAAGUUUCAUAUUUUAAGUAUCCAAAUAUACCUAUCUUCCUCUUUACAAAUCCUUGCACUAGAUUUAUGCUUAGAAAACUCUUGACAAUCAGCAGUUUGUGUGAUUUAGUUGAAUGUUAUGGUAACUUAUAUUUACCAUAUGAUGAUAUAGUUAACAGCUUGUUAAAUUUAUUUUAUACUUAUUUGUAAUGCUUAAUAACCGUUCCAUUUUUAUCAAAAGUUAAAUUAUCUAUAGGAAGGGAAUUUCAGCCAUUUUAUUCAACUGAUCUAUCUGUUCAUGCUUAUGCAAAUACAGUGUUACUUUAAUUACUUUUUACAUCACAAGAUGUUUGGAGCAAUUCUCUUUCCAUUUGUGGGGCUUCCAAGGGUUCCUCAGCCAUUCCUGACUGUUUCUAAAUAAACCUUAGAGAAUCA